UCAGAGUUUGRWYCUGGCUCAGGACGAACGCUGGCGGCGUGCCUAAUACAUGCAAGUCGAGCGRACAGAAGGGAGCUUGCUCCCGGAUGUUAGCGGCGGACGGGUGAGUAACACGUGGGUAACCUGCCUGUAAGACUGGGAUAACUCCGGGAAACCGGAGCUAAUACCGGAUAGUUCCUUGAACCGCAUGGUUCAAGGAUGAAAGACGGUUUCGGCUGUCACUUACAGAUGGACCCGCGGCGCAUUAGCUAGUUGGUGGGGUAAUGGCUCACCAAGGCGACGAUGCGUAGCCGACCUGAGAGGGUGAUCGGCCACACUGGGACUGAGACACGGCCCAGACUCCUACGGGAGGCAGCAGUAGGGAAUCUUCCGCAAUGGACGAAAGUCUGACGGAGCAACGCCGCGUGAGUGAUGAAGGUUUUCGGAUCGUAAAGCUCUGUUGUUAGGGAAGAACAAGUGCGAGAGUAACUGCUCGCACCUUGACGGUACCUAACCAGAAAGCCACGGCUAACUACGUGCCAGCAGCCGCGGUAAUACGUAGGUGGCAAGCGUUGUCCGGAAUUAUUGGGCGUAAAGGGCUCGCAGGCGGUUUSUUAAGUYUGAUGUGAAAKCC
rnacentral:rRNA from 1 species